GCCGCGCAAGGGAACCAGCGCGCAUGCCCGCCCCGCGCUCUCUCGCGUCUGCGCACUACACCGCAUACCUAUCAACCUUAUCAAUGUUCGUCGCCCCGUACCUCUCGACGGUCUAACAUCGGAAUCCCUAAACAUCAUCAAUGUCAUAAUUAGAUUAGAAACGUAACAUGUUCUGCCGCAAUUCUAGUCAGUGAACUCAAUAACGCAGUGGUUCUGAUGUGCAAGUGUGUCGGCGCCUUCGUGUUACUUCUGCUGGUUUUGUUCCUGGACUCCAGGGACUGCUCGGCUAGUGCACAAUAUGAUGCCGCUGGCAAAAUAUCGCUCAACUCGGUCCAAGCAUGGGCGGUUAAGCUUGGUACUGAGCUGUAUCAUUUCGGAGAGUUUAUCACCAGGAAGAAAGAAGUUCAGGAUAGUUUUAAAUCCGCUCAAGUGGAAUCAAGAGAUGGUGAAAAACUAGUUCAGAGUAUGUCAGACGACAUACGCGCCAUGAUGGAACUGAAGAUCAGCGCCGUCAAAAGGAUAGUGGAAGCUGCUGAAAACAUGGCGUUCGAUAAACAAAACGAGCCAGUUCCUGAAGACUUUCAGUUCUACAAUAGUAAAGAAAUGGAGGAACCAUGGGACGAGGUGUCAAUCACAACCACACCUGAGACAGACUUUGGUCAGGAAAGUUGGAUAGUACGACCGCCGUCAAAGAAUGCGCACACGCAACAAAACCCACACUUCUCAAACAUUCCAGUAAAUACUAAUUUUAGCAGUGUACAUGUUCCAACGAAUGUUUAUGCUUGGGCACCUGAGGUUAUCAAGGGAAUCCACUGGUCGGAGGGACUGGACACCCACUUCAUUAACAACUAUCAGAGCGACCCGACCUUGUCGUGGCAAUACUUCGGCAGUUCUACUGGAUUCAUGAGACAUUAUCCCGCAUUGAAAUGGAGGGCUGACCCCGUGGAUAUUUACGAUUGUCGAACCCGAGCGUGGUACAUGGAAGCGGCAGCGAGUCCAAAGGAUGUAAUAAUUUUAGUUGAUCGAAGCGGGUCAAUGACCGGGCAAAGGCGGGAUAUCGCUAAACACGUCGUUACCAAUAUACUUGACACACUCGGUAACAAUGAUUUUGUCAAUGUUCUAACUUUUGCCGACACCGUGGAAGAAAUCGUACCGUGUUUCGAAGAUUCUCUAGUGCAGGCCACUCUGGGAAAUAUACGGGAACUAAAGUUGGCGAUGGACAGUUUUGAAACACAGGAGAUAGCAAACUUUUCAGCUGCACUGACGAGAGCAUUCGAGCUGCUGGAGAUAUAUAGAAAUAAUAGUGGAGGUGCAAACUGCAACCAGGCAAUAAUGCUGGUAACAGACGGCGUACCGUACAAUUACAAGGAAAUAUUUGAGAAGUACAACUGGAAGUAUGAGACCCCAGUGAGAGUGUUUACGUACCUGAUAGGGCGUGAGGUAAAGGUCGCAGACGUAAGAGAGGUGAAGUGGAUGGCGUGCGCGAAUCGCGGGUUCUACGUGCAUCUGAGUACUCUAGCGGAGGUGCGCGAGCGCGUUUUAGAACAUGUGAACGUGCUCGCGCGCCCGCUCGUGCUGCAGAGAGAAAAGCAUCCUGUCGUUUGGACACCUGUCUACGCUAACGUCACUGAUCCGAAGGUAGCAGAUUAUCUAUGGGAGCAACGCGAGCGAGCGGAGCAGAAAGAACGCUUCAUGAGCCAGAGGAGGGACAAGAAUCUCUUCAACUCGGACAAAGAACAGGAUAGACGAUGGAGAAUUACGCAGAUGAAACAGGGCCAGUACAGUGAGCUCGGAAAUUCCCAGUAUCAGUUAAUGACAUCAGUGUCCAUGCCAGUGUACGACCUCCGACACAACGAGAUGCGUAUAGCUAGACUGUUGGGAAUCGCUGGCACUGACGUACCUCUUUCUGAAAUACAAGCUCUCAUGACACCGUAUAAGAUCGGUGUGAAUGGCUACGCGUUUAUAGUAACAAACAAUGGUUACAUCUUGAUACACCCGGAUCUGAGGCCUGUCUUUCAACAAAUCUUGAAGCCAAGCUACAACAGCGUGGAUAUGAUAGAAGUUGAACUCUUUGACGAUGAUCGGGGCCCCAGGAAUUUUAGCAAAGAACUAACAGCACUACGAAAAGAAAUUAUCGAUCAGAAAACGGGCAACAAGGUGAUGAGUGUCAAGUACCAUUUGGACGAUAUGAAAAGAGUAUCCCGAGCAAAAAGGCAUUACUUCUGGACUGGUAUCAGCGACUCCCCCUUCACGCUGGUGGUGGCAAUACCAGAGAAUUAUGGCCGCCACCGCAUAACACCACCACCGACUGAUGACAUCCAUAGACUGUCUCUGACUUCCAAGAACAUCUCGGCGAGGCAGUACCUGUCGGAUAAGUGGAGCGUUCAUCCUGAUUGGAUGUAUUGCCGGCAUUAUGAACGCACUUUUGCGACUGCGGAGGAAGAGCUUCUUUAUUUCUUGGAGCGCGUAGCCAAGCCUGGCUGGCGCUGGCCUGCCAAACCUCGGCCUCCGGAGCACCAUAAAAAUAAACCUGGACAUGAGCGGCAUAACAAUGGAACACCAGAAACGAGGGAAAGAAGCAAAGUAUCUAAUAGCACUCCUAGGAAUGAGUAUUAUUGCGAUCAUGGCUUGAUGCAGGCCUUGGUAUACGACGCCAGAAAUACAGCUUGGUUUAACAAAAGCAUCUCGGAUUCCGCAUCUGAUGAGAAGGCGGUGGAGUUCAUUCAACGGUUUGGGUACAUCGUGGCGUUCCUGUCUACCCACAGCGGACUAACGCGCUGGCAGACCCAUCCGCCCAAGGAACAUGAUAAUGACAAGCCAGACUUCGGCAAGCAAUGGCCGCGAGCGAUCGAAGAAGUUUGGUACCGUCGCGCAGUCGAGCAGCACUACGUAGAUCCUUUGAGCUAUGUCUACAGUGUAGACUUGAGUACUGUCAAGUUUCCCCUCAACGUCAGCCUGGCUCUAGUCACCGCAUCACAUGCUGUCUUCCACGGAGACGGGCACAGGAAGGCCCCGGCGGCUGUCGUUGGCUUCCAGUUCAAACAUGAGCGACUCAGUGAAUGGUUUGAUAAUAUUACGUCUUCGUGUGAACAUAACAAGGAGUGUACAACGUGCCAGUCAGACAACUGGGAUUGUUACUUGGUGGACAACAAUGGCUGGAUUAUUGUUAGUGAGGAUUCUACACAGACUGGCCAGUUCUUUGGGAGGAUUCGACCGGACAUCAUGUCAAGAUUAGUUGAAGAUGAGGUGUACAAGGCAGUACAUAUUGUUGAUUAUCAGGCGGUCUGCUUCAGAGAGAAGAAAACUACGAACCCAGCGACAAUGCUCUUUACCCCCCUUGAAAACUUGCGCCUCGUGAUGGCGUGGUUCCUAGCUACCACGGUGUGGUUCUACAACUCCAUAACGACAGGUUUGGCUCAAGCAUCCAGCUACUCCUUCGAUGACGAGAAUGUUACACCCACUGUUGCAUACCAGAGCUACGAAAACGAUGAAGAGACGGAUGACCCAUACAUGUCGAAACCACCAAACAUGCGGGUUUUAGAGCGAGACUAUGAGAAGCUGGUGCUCAUAAACCGAACGCGACCGACUCCUUGCGACAGAGAGAUGUACUUGUACCAGCUAGACUAUAACAACUUAGACGAGAAGCUGAACAAACCAGUGUCAGAGUGCGGCCGACCAUUCAUUGCUCAACACGUCAACUAUACAAACAUGCUAAUGAUUGUAGUAGACGCCAAUUGCCCGAAAGACGAGGUCGCGGCCAUGUCGGUGGAUGCGACAGAAGUGAACUAUAACGAGUCACUGCCAUGCCUGAAGCAUAUGCAUCCCUUGUACAGGAAGCAGCCUACUUCGUGCAUUAGGAAUCACACUGAGGAGAGCAACAUCGACAUGUGCGGACGCGGCAGUCUACCUGGCAACAGCAAGACAUGGAUUUCGCUGAGUAUCUUUCUGCUAGUCAAAUAUCUGGCGUAAAGUGUAGGUUCAAAGCUAGGGUAGGUAAAGCAUAAAGCGGCCAGACUGUUGAUAUAAUGUAGGUGCAUCCACGUCGAAGAUUUACCUGACUGGCAUUGCCAAUAACAUCAAAGAAACCUAACUUCAAUACUAGCCAGUGUGCACGGUGCAUACCUGCGCUUAGGUAUUUUUUGUUAAUAGCCAAUACGAUAAGUCGGAGAGUCGAGUAUUGUUUUAAAUAGGUACGAUAUUAAUAGAUUGAAUUAUACGUUUUGUUAAAAUGUGUCAUACUUUAUCGGAAUAUUUUUUCUUAGUAAAUUCAAAGAUAUAUUGAUGGUAAUAACUUUUCAUUAUAUUACAAUUGUUUUGUUAUGAUUAUUAUGAAUUGUAUUGAUCUCUGCUUUUAGAAUAGGUAGAUAUUAAAAAAAUUACAUGUCAUUCCCACAUAUCAAAUUUUAAAUGAUGUGCUCCCAUUGUGCCACAAUAGGAAGCAAUAUGAAAAAAUCAUAUCACAAAUUCAAUUACCCCCUUGGCAUGUGGGGUUAACUUUUUAAAAUUGUGAACAAAAUAAUAUAAUUAAAAAAUUAGAAUAAAAUUUAUAGCUUUUGUAAAACGUUUGGCUGCAUGAUUUUAAACUUACGUAAUGUUUUAAAUUUUGCUUUAUGCCUAUCGGAAUGUUUAACUAAUUAUUUCCGUCCUGCUGGUGAACAUUUUAAAGGAUCCACGUAUUAUUUUGACAAUAAUAUGCAAAAUUAAUAUAGGUACAAACAAUUUAGGAAAAAUCUUCAAUAAAGUUAAUUUGUUUGCAUUGGGCCAGUACCUAGGUUCACACCACUGGAUGAAAUAUUUGUAAUAUUACUAGAAUUUAGUAUUUUGAAUCUCUGUCAUUUAAGUAUAUGUCUUAGAAGUCGACUAUUUACUGAAUUACUUACUGAAAUGUGAUUGUUUGGUUUUAAUAAAUAAAUGAUUAAGAUUA